CCGGCGCACGGGUGAGUAACACGUAUCCAACCUGCCGUCUACUCUUGGCCAGCCUUCUGAAAGGAAGAUUAAUCCAGGAUGGGAUCAUGAGUUCACAUGUCCGCAUGAUUAAAGGUAUUUUCCGGUAGACGAUGGGGAUGCGUUCCAUUAGAUAGUAGGCGGGGUAACGGCCCACCUAGUCAACGAUGGAUAGGGGUUCUGAGAGGAAGGUCCCCCACAUUGGAACUGAGACACGGACCAA
rnacentral:rRNA from 1 species